rnacentral:rRNA from 1 species
UACGUAGGGUGCAAGCGUUGUCCGGAAUUAUUGGGCGUAAAGAGCUCGUAGGCGGUCUGUCGCGUCGGCUGUGAAAACCCGGAGCUCAACUCCGGGCCUGCAGUCGAUACGGGCGGACUCGAGUUCGGCAGGGGAGACUGGAAUUCCUGGUGUAGCGGUGGAAUGCGCAGAUAUCAGGAGGAACACCGGUGGCGAAGGCGGGUCUCUGGGCCGUUACUGACGCUGAGGAGCGAAAGCGUGGGGAGCGAACAGG